UGGUAUGUACUAGCCUGCCGAUUCCUCCUUCUUGUAGAACCGUAAUGCCAUUAAUUUGGUGUUGCGGGGAAACAGGACUGUUACUUUGAAAAAAUUAGAGUGUUUAAAGCAGGCUAGCGCCUGAAUACAUUAGCAUGGAAUAAUGAAAUAGGACGUUCGAACCUAUUUUGUUGGUUUCUAGGAUUGACGUAAUGAUUAAUAGGGAUAGUUGGGGGCAUUAGUAUUCAAUUGUCAGAGGUGAAAUUCUUGGAUUUAUUGAAGACUGACUACUGCGAAAGCAUUUGCCAAGGAUGUUUUCAUUAAUCAAGAACGAAAGUUAGGGGAUCGAGGACGAUCAGAUACCGUCGUAGUCUUAACCAUAAACUAUGCCGACUAGGGAUCGGAUGAUGUUAAUUUUUUAAUGACUCAUUCGGCGCCUUACG
rnacentral:rRNA from 1 species